GGGUGGGGUUAGGAUGGGGGUGCAGGGUGAGGUUAAGGGGUUUUAGGGGCUGGGUGGUAGGAGUGGGGGGGGGGGGUUAAGGGGCUAGGUGGUUUGGUCUGAGUGUUAGGAGAGGGGGGGGUGCAGUGUGAGGUUAAGGGGUUUUAGGGGCUAGGUGGUUUGGUCUGGAGACAUGCUGAUGACCCCGUGGUGGCACUGGUGUGAGUCCCUGCUGCAGUGAAAUGCGUCACGUGACUAUGAGAGCGGUCAGGGGACUCCGGCAGGACUCUCCACCAGGGAGCAACGUGGAGGUGUGGGUCGUUCUCUUCCUCCUCUUUCUCGUCGUGUUCCUUGUAGUCCUCCUCCCCCACCCUUCUCUCCAGGAUAGAGAGGGGUCGGCCUGUGGAGGUGGGGCCUAUAUCCAGGCAGGAAGGAUGGGUGCCGACCCCUAGUUUCCCCGGUGACCCCUGGUGACUCCGUACAUCCGACCCACAGCAUUUGCUGCUCCUUAUGGAAGUCAGAUUGGAAUAAAGUAAAGUGGAAUAGAAUAGGACAAAAUAGAGUAAAAGGGAAUAAAAUAGAUUAGAAAUAAAGUAGAAUUAAAUAAACUAAAGUGGAAUGGGAUAAAACAGAAAGUGUUUGGGAGAAAUAGCGAGGGGGGGGCACUUACCCAUGUCUGUUGCCGUGGUAGAUAGAUUGUGAUCAUUCUAUCAACUCUUGAGUCUCGGAGAACUACAAACACAUAAAGGCACGGAGGAAUGAGGAAAUAGCUAGCGGCAAAAUUACCACAGGUUCAUGGUCAGGUUAUCUGGUGGAACCACAUCAAUGAGAUGCACAGCACAACUGCAGAGUGGGAAGACCUGUGUUGAGUGACACCGCUCCAGGGGCGCUGUUGGACUAUUUUCAGUGGGAGUGUGUUGUUUGUUUAUGUCUGUCUGGCACCACACAGUCUAGCUCUCCCCCUCGCUUAAGAGAUCGGUAUCUCCUCCUGCUCGUAGUUGUAGCCAAUCAGACUCCCCCAAAUCAACCCGCCCAUGGAUCACUGAUCAUGUACUCUAUGUCUGGCCAUUUGCUGCUAGCGUCCCUAACACAGAACAAUCUUGACAUCACUAACAUAAUAUGUAGCUCAACUAUGAUAACUGCUGGUCUGUUUCAACCUGUAAACCAUGAAGGCUGUUGUCACAUUUUCUAGAUGAAACCCCCCCACUGCUGAAUGAUAAUUGAUCAUGCUGUAAAACUGAAAGAAAAUGAAGAGCAAUC
ensembl:lncRNA